UUUAAUUGAAGAGUUUGAUCAUGGCUCAGAUUGAACGCUGGCGGCAGGCCUAACACAUGCAAGUCGAGCGGUAACAUGCCUUCGGGUGAUGACGAGCGGCGGACGGGUGAGUAAUGCUUGGGUAU
rnacentral:rRNA from 1 species